rnacentral:rRNA from 1 species
UACGGGGGGGCAAGCGUUGUUCGGAAUUACUGGGCGUAAAGGGCUCGUAGGCGGCCAACUAAGUCAUACGUGAAAUCCCUCGGCUUAACCGGGGAACUGCGUCUGAUACUGGAUGGCUUGAGUUCGGGAGAGGGAUGCGGAAUUCCAGGUGUAGCGGUGAAAUGCGUAGAUAUCUGGAGGAACACCGGUGGCGAAGGCGGCAUCCUGGACCGAUACUGACGCUGAGGAGCGAAAGCCAGGGGAGCAAACGGG